rnacentral:rRNA from 1 species
AGUGAAUCAGGCCUGAGGAUGAAGAAGGAAUAGCCCAGCACCGAAUCCCCCGGGUCUCUUGCGCGGAGGGAAAUAAGAUGUGCGGGUGAUGAGCCGCAUCUUCCGCCGCGUCGGCAUCGAUCGUCCUUGUGACGUGGCCCCUCGCUCCAGCGCGGGUGAUAUGCCCAUCGCGAUGACCGACGCGCCGUGUCGGUGAUCCUCCCCAGAGUGAGGUUGCUUAAGAUCGCAUCCCAAAGCGGGUGGUAAACUCCAUCUAAGGCCAAAUACUCGACACGGGUCCGAUAGCGGACAAGUACCAUGAGGGAAAGUUGAAAACAACUGAUGAGAGAGUUUAAGAGUACGUGAAACCACACAGAGUCAAACGGGUGGAGCCGCAAAGAUUCUCUCGUCCCGGCCGUCCAGCCCGGUCGGAUCGCUGCCGCUCGCGGCCCCAGUUGCACGCCUCCCUUCGAGGGGAGUUCGCCUGGCGCGUAGCGCACUUCGUCCGGUGUGUGUUCCCGCUCCGGCGUCGAGUGCCACGACCGGUUCCGACGAGGGACGCGUUCCGCAGACGGCGCGACAAUUUGGGUCCUUCGCGAUCCGAACGCGCCGCCGAGGUCCUAGCGUUCCGGGGACCGAGGACGACUGGCCGUCGACUCUCCCAGCGCGUUUACCGCGCUCUCCCCAGCUAUAGUUGCGAGCGGCCGAACGCGGUCCGGGGGCGAGCCAUCUACGCCGCAGGAGACGGAUGCGCAGCGUUGGUGGCUUUUACGGGCGAUACUCCACCCGACCCAUCUUGGAACACGGACCAAGGAGUCUAGCGCGUGCCCGAGUCACCGGGUCUGGUAACCCCGACGGCGGAAUGAAAGUGAUCCCGCAGUUUCUCGCUGCUGGAAGGGCAGGAUGCUCUUCUCCCUCGGGAAGGAAGCUGCACUGCCGGCCCGUCUCUUCUCGAGGCGGAGGCCGAGCGCACGCGCUGGGACUCGAAAGAUGGUGAACUAUGCCUGGGCAGGACGAAGUCGGGGGAAACUCCGAUGGAGGUUCGCAGCGAAUCUGACGUGCAAAUCUAUCGGCAA